rnacentral:rRNA from 1 species
GACGAACGCUGGCGGCGUGCCUAAUACAUGCAAGUUGAGCGCUGAAGGUUGGUACUUGUACCAACUGGAUGAGCAGCGAACGGGUGAGUAACGCGUGGGGAAUCUGCCUUUGAGCGGGGGACAACAUUUGGAAACGAAUGCUAAUACCGCAUAAAAACUUUAAACACAAGUUUUAAGUUUGAAAGAUGCAAUUGCAUCACUCAAAGAUGAUCCCGCGUUGUAUUAGCUAGUUGGUGAGGUAAAGGCUCGCCAAGGCGAUGAUACAUAGCCGACCUGAGAGGGUGAUCGGCCACAUUGGGACUGAGACACGGCCCAAACUCCUACGGGAGGCAGCAGUAGGGAAUCUUCGGCAAUGGACGAAAGUCUGACCGAGCAACGCCGCGUGAGUGCAGAAGGUUUUCGGAUCGUAAAACUCUGUUGGUAGAGAAGAACGUUGGUGAGAGUGGAAAGCUCAUCAAGUGACGGUAACUACCCAGAAAGGGACGGCUAACUACGUG